rnacentral:rRNA from 1 species
UUAAGAGGUGACAAAUGGUAAUUAGUGAUUGGGCAACCACAGCCGGGGAUAGCUGGCUCAAUAUUUGGGAUCGAUUUGUCAAUUUCUUGCCUAGCUUGAUCGGCGCAUUAAUUAUUUUAAUUAUUGGCUGGAUCAUCGGCAUGAUUUUAAGCAUGGUUAUUGACCGACUCUUCAGGAUCAUCGGACUUCAAUCAUUGUUCGAAAAAGCAAAAGUUGAAGACGUUUUGAAAAAAGCAAACGCCGAACAAGAUGCAACUUCAUUAUUGGCCUCAGCUGUUAAGUGGAUCGUUUUUUUGGUCGCUUUCAUCGCUGCCGCUAAUGUUUUGCAGUUAACUGAAGUAGCGGGAUUCUUAGACAAGAUUUUGGCAUAUAUUCCUUCAGUUAUCGCUGCCGGCGCAAUUUUGCUUAUCGGUUUAAUUUUAGCCAAUUUUCUUUCAUCAGUUGUUAAGGGCAGCCUUUCGGCUUCCGGAUUAGGUGCUGAUGAUACAGUUGCUAUUGGUGUUCGAUAUGCAAUUAUAGUUUUUGCAGUUUUGGCCGCUUUAGCACAACUCGGCAUUGCCGAAACCAUGAUUCAAACCUUAUUUAUCGGCGUUGUCGCGUUAAUCGCGAUCGCUGGUGGAUUAGCUUUUGGUCUUGGUGGUCAGGGUGUAGCCAGAGAUUGGCUUGAGCAUGUUCGCAAGCAGUUGAAGUAGCACUAAAGGUGCGCGGAAAUUUUUCUUCGGAAAAAUUAUAGUUUUUAGAAUCGAAUACAAAAAAACGGGAAAUCUCAUCUUUAUAGAUCAGAAAUCCCGUUUUUUUUGUAUCGAUAAUUGACCAAUUAAUCAUCGUUUGGUAAUCUAGAAAAAAUGGCCAAAAACUGUAAAAUCGAUGAAAUCAUGCUGGCAAUUUUGGAGAGAGACUCUUCUGAUUUGAUAGUCGAUAUGAAAAACCGUCCUAAACUUAUUGAUCUCGGUUUUAAGAUGCACAAGCCCAAGAAAGUCAUUAAAAUCAAUACCGGUGAAGUAGAUAGCAUAGAAAAUGUUAUCAAGAUAAUAUGUGACAAUCUGAAAGACGAGCACCGGAUUAUUUCCAUGGUUGGUCAAUGUGGCGCCGGGAAAAGUUCAACAUUCGAAGCGCUUAAGACAAAUUUAAAUGCAUUUCAUAUCUCCAUGGGAGAUAUUUUUAGAUUCCUGACAUAUUCGGAAAUUGUUGAAAAUAAAAAGCCGCAGAUGGUUUUAAGGAAGAUGAACUAUUCUUUGAUCGACGGAAAUAAUCGAUUAUGCAUUAAAGAGUUAGAUAUUUUGAAGGAAUUUUGCCUGUAUAAUUUAGAGCUAGAAAAGCAUAUCCCUGAUGUAAGUACAAAAACUCAGCAUAUGGUUAUCGAAUUUGUAAAAAAAGAAAUAACAGAGUUAUCAAAGCAUAAAAAAAGAAUUCUAAUCGAGGGUCGUGAUUUUACAUUAGAUUUUAUUCCUUCAGAUUUAAGAAUUAACCUGUUUGCUGACCCUUUGGUCCGCGCUCGGCGCCGUUUUUUACAAAGGCAAGAAAAAAUUGAUGAAUAAUAAUUUUCUUAAAGUGUUGACAAAAUAUACGCCAUUUGCUAUAUUAAAAAAGGAUUUAAAGGAGAAGAUCUGUAUAAAACCUCCAACAAUUUUGAAAGGGGGCCGCGCGACUAAUAAAAGCUAGAAUUUUGUUUAGCUUAAUGUUUAGUCCGCCGCAAAAAGGCGGUUUUUUGUACCUUUAUCAAUUUCCAGAUUCUAAUAUCGCAAACAAUAAUUUGUUUGAGACUUAGAGCUUAGAAACAGUAAUUCUUUCCAGUUAAGCUGUAAUUUAACAACGUAUGUUUUGAUUUUGAUUCAUGUUUAGUGCCUUGGUUGUUGUCCAACAUAAAAAAAGAUUUUCGAAAGAGUAUAUGGAGGAUGCCUUGGCAUGAAAGACCGAUGAAGGACGCAGUAGGCGUGCGAUACGCUUCGGGGAGGAGCCAAACUUCCUUUGAUCCGAAGAUUUCCGAAUGGGGUAACCCCGCUAUCGAAGAGAUAGUGAUCCAACAUCUAUCCUCUCAGCGUGAGACGAGCCCUCCUGAUCCAUUAAAAUUUUAGGGAUCAAGAAAAAGGGUCUUUAUAAAUCGUUUCAUACUGGGGGACAGGUGUUGGAUGGGCACCCGGUGAACUGAAACAUCUAAGUAACCGGAGGAAUAUAAAACAACACUCACUCUACAGUGAGAUAUGGUCUGAUUUCUACUUGCAAAAUAGCUCAAGACAAGCAAUUGUCUUUUGCCUUUUGCGAACGAAGUCAGGACAUAUGUGAUUCCCUGAGUAGCGGCGAGCGAAACGGGAAUAGCCUGAUUAGAGCUUACUAAGUAAAAAAUUAGCCGAACGAGCCUGGAAAGGACGACCAAAGCGGGUAAUAGUCCCGUAGGCGAAAAUUUUUUACUGAUGCAAUAAUCCUUUUCACCAAUUUAUUGGUGAAAUGAAGUACUAUUGGACACGUGAAAUCCAGUAGGAAGAAAACUCAAACACCCUUCGGGGCUAUGAGCGGGAGGAUCGUCUCCCAAGGCUAAAUAUCUUUCAUGACCGAGCCCUGUUUACAGGGUGACGGCGUGCCUUUUGUAGAAUGAACCAACGAGUUAGCUAGGCGUUGCAAGCUUAAGUCCAACAUGGACGGAGGCGUAGGGAAACCGAGUCCGAAAGGGCGAUUCAGUAGCGUCUACUAUACCCGAAACCGGGUGACCUAUUUAUGAGCAGGGUGAAGCUUUUCGAUAAGAAAAGUGGAGGCCCGAACCCAAUAGCGUUGCAAAACUAUGGGAUGACUUGUGAAUAGAGGUAAAAUACCAAUCGAACCCGGAAAUAGCUGGUUCUCCCCGAAAUAUAUUUAGGUAUUGAUAGGCCAUAGGUGUAAGAUCCGUAAGGAUUUCAGCCGAGUGGUACUAAUAAACCA